AAAAGUUAAAGGAGCAGGGUGCAAUUAUCCCCAACUAUUGAAGACUUCCAAGUCCAGACUUCAGAGGACGAUCCAAUGGUGAGAGCGUCAGCCGUGGAAGGUGUAUCAGGCGAAGCAAAAGGGGAGAUCGUUAUAGUCGAAGAAUGGAAUGGCUCUUCUUCAACCAAGCUCUCUAAAACUGCUACUAUCACCGCUUCUCCUUCUCUUUCCAUCCAAAGAUCUGGUAGCCGUUUUGAUCACGUUUGGAGACGCGUCCUUCAAGCAUUUGUACCUGAGGGUUUUCCAAGCAGUGUAACAUCAGAUUAUGUCCCUUUUCAAGUGUGGGAUUCGUUGCAGGGUCUUUCGACUUACAUAAGGACCAUGCUUUCUACACAAGCUCUCUUAAGUGCAAUUGGGGUUGGAGAGAAAUCAGCGACUGUCAUUGGCGCCACAUUUCAGUGGUUUUUGAGGGACUUGACUGGAAUGCUUGGAGGGAUACUAUUCACAUUUUACCAGGGCUCAAAUCUGGAUAGCAAUGCCAAAAUGUGGCGUUUGGUUGCAGAUCUUAUGAAUGAUCUUGGAAUGUUGAUGGACCUCGUAUCUCCUUUGUUUCCUUCAGCAUUUGUAUUGGUAGUUUGCUUAGGGAGCCUAUCAAGAUCAUUCACUGGUGUUGCCAGUGGUGCAACUAGAGCUGCGUUGACACAGCAUUUUGCUCUCGAGAAUAAUGCAGCAGAUAUAUCUGCCAAGGAAGGAAGUCAAGAAACACUGGCAACAAUGACUGGCAUGGCAUUGGGGAUGCUCCUUGCUCGCAUAACAAUUGGACACCCCUUAGCUAUCUGGUUUUCGUUUCUUUCUCUCACCUUGUUCCAUAUGUAUGCAAACUACAGGGCUGUUCGGUGCCUUGUACUGACAUCUUUAAAUAUGCAAAGGAGCUCAAUUCUUUUGCAGCAUUUCAUGGAGACAGGCCAAGCUCUCUCCCCUGAACAGGUCUCUAGGAUGGAACAUAUUUUACCCAAAUGGACCACGUUUUGGAGCUCAAAGAAUGUUAAAUUGUUGCAUAAGCAAGUACACUUGGGUGUGAGAGUUUCUUCACUUGAUCACCAGGAAAUGACGGAGCUGUUACGUUCUGCAGGAUCUCAUCGGAAAGCAAAGUACUUGCUAGUGGAGAGGAAGACAAGCAUCAGCAUUUUGAUGCACAAAAAUUCAACAUCUUCAGAUGUCUUGCAAUCGUUUAUUCAUGCACUGGUUAUGGAAAAACUUAUGGAAGAAAAUACAUCUGUGCAUUUGGAGAGCCAAUCAUGGAUGGAUAAACAUUACAAAGAUUUCCUUCAAAAGUUAAGUUUAUCAGGUUGGAAAACAGAACGCCUUCUUUCCCAUUCCAUCAUUUGGAAGGCAAAUUGGAUAUGUGGGCCUUCAGAUGAUAAGGUUGACUAGGUACCCUUACCUACCUUUACUAUGGGCCUUCGGACGAUAAGGUUGACUAGGGAACAUUCCAAAUAAUAUGUCAAAGAAAAAUGCUCUAUGAAUAAAAGAAGCAUUGGAUUCAGUUUUACAGGCAACAACUAUUGCUAGGCAAAUCAAAAAUAAAAAGAUUUAGUCUUAGAUUAAACUUCUCUUUAGGAUUUUACACAUUAUCAACUGUUUCAUGCAAACUAUAUGUAUUAGAUUAAAUAUUUCUGAUAAUUAUAGGUCUAGGCUAGUUAGAUUGAAGAAAAAUGGGAUGAAGGAAUUACAAGGAGAAAAAUUCUGUGGCUCCUCAUAUUGCGACUGUUUAUAAAGGUUAUAUCGUUGGUAUUGCAGUAGUUGAUGAAGAUUAAGGUAUUGCACUGGUUUAAAGUUUGGAAUUUAAAAUGAAACUGAUCACAAACGGUAGGGGCAUGGUUGUAAUAUUUACUCUAUUCAAAUAUUGUAAUGUGAUGACAAGUUCGGCUGGAGUAGCUAAUUUAAGCU